GUCACGGUGUCUGUUCACAGUAGUAAAACCCUAAGACAAGGAUAUUAGGUUAAGUGAUGUAGUCAUGCCUAGAAAGAUACUAUAUGCUCUCAUAGAUGGAGCUGAAAAGAAAUAGGGGAUAGAAUAGUAGUUAUGAGAUCCUGGGGAGAGUCAAGAGAAGAAAGGGAUGGCGGAAGGGUGGUUAGUGGGUACAGCUGUCUGUGAGGAGCUUCUUACAUACUGGAGCGGUAGGAUGCUGUUGGUGAUAGCCAUUAACUGAGUAUUUCAAAAGAGCCAGCAGAGAGGAUUUUGCAUAUAUAACACAAAGAGAUGCUAAACAGACAAUUACUCAAGUAUGAUCAUUACACAUCAUUUUCAUGUAUUGGAAGUGACAGUGCACUGCAGAAAUAGGUGCAAUUACUACAUGUCAAUUAAAAAAUACUGUUUAAAAAGACUGCAAUAGGGGCCAGAGAAAGGACUCAGAGGUUGAGGGCGUGCAUUGCUUUUGCAGAGGACCCGGAGUUCCCAGCACUCCUGUGACGUGGCUUGCAAUCACCUGGAACUCCAGCUCCAGGGGAUUUGAUGCUGCCUUCUGCAGGUACCUGUGCUCACACGCACUAAACUGCCCUCCCAUACACAUACAGUUAAAAAUAAAAUCUCAUAAAGGAUGCAGUCUAUUCUUACUAACUACAGUUUAUUCUGUACUGCAACAAACCUACUAGAUGUUUUCUGCUGACGUAACCGGAAACUGUACUCUUGACCAUCCCUUCAACCCCUCUCUCCCUGCUGCCUCUCAGCCUUCUGUCUGAGUUAGGGUCACAGACUAUUUUUCUUCCUGGAUCGCACAUAAUACCCUCGGCGUUUGUCCACUCUAUCUCAACCAACAGAUUUUUUUUUCCAUUUUAAGGCUGAAUAAUGUUUCAUUGUGUGAAUAUUCCAUGUUUCCCCUUUUCAUUUCAUCCGUCGACAACGACUUCAUUUAAUCUUAUAAACUGGCUAUUGUGAGCGGUGCUGCAUGAAUGUGAGGGUGCAACUGUCUCUUUGACACACUGACCUUAUUCCCGUCUGGCUGGAUAACCAAUAGUGGGCCUAUUGUAUCACACUGUGCCUUCAUUUUAACUUCGGCAUGAGCUGGGCCGACCAUUGCAUCAUAUUCUGUAGCCCAAUGUCUGUCAAAUUCCAAUGGUUUACAUGGCAAGGUGGCAGAUCGUGCUAAAAUGUGGAUGGAUCCAUGGAUCUGUGCAAGGACCUGAGAUAGAGUGCUUCUAUCAAGCCCCCCAAGCCCCAUCUGAGAGGUCAGAGUCUGCCUCUGGGACCUGAGGGACCUAAACCAAGAAUAUCGUCAUUCACUCAACAGCAAGAAGUUAAACAGGGGUCUAAAUGACCACAUGGAUUUGAGAGUCAGAAGGAAGAAAAGAUGGAGGGGGACUCCGGGAACCUCAGGCCAUUUCAGAAGGAGCCACAGGGGAGGUGAGCCACGGGCAUUGAGAUUUAUACUGCACGAUACAUUUUAUUUAUUUAUGGGGACGUGGUAUCUGUUCCCCAACCCCCUGUAUGGUAAUUUAUCAGUGAGUUCAUCCUGAUUUAGUAGUGCAUGGAGGACACCUGCUGCUAAUUCCCCUUUAUUUCAUAUAUUUCUUCUACCUUAGCUCAUAAAGCGUCGACCCUGCCACUUGCUUUAUCAUCCAUCUGUAUUUCCUUGCGAGCCCCACUCUCGCUGAUCUAUAGCGCAAGCCCUCCUUCCCCACCCCUUUGUCCUCUCCUCAUAGAUUGCAUUCCUCAGUAUUGACAUUUCACUCGCUUGAUUUAUCCCAACAGCUUCCCUGAUGCCAACCAGCUCAUAAUUCCCUUCUGGUAGCAUCACUUCAAGGCCUUGCUGGUUAUUUCCCUUGGCUCCUCCUGUUUGUGGAUGGACGCCUAAGAGAUUUACUGGUGGUGAUUUGUCCUCUCUUUUAGUUUUCUGUUUGCUUAGAUCCUAAGCACAGGUGCUAAGUUGCAAGGGCCCCAAGGGUAUCUGGAAUUCCGUGAGUGGGAAGCUUUGUUCUUGGUGGGGAGUGCCCAGAGGGCUCCAUCUGAAGCAUCCUGGCAGAAGGACCAUCCUGGAUUUGCUUCAAGACGACUCUCGACCUUCUGCAUUCUGCUAAACCUUGUUAAUCUGGUGCUCCUUAACAGGAUUCCAUGGAGCUUCUAGAAGGCAAGAUCUAGACAAUUUCAAAGGGAAUUAUCUUUGAAAAAGGGGAACACACCUGUAAGAAAUGUAUACUCAAUUUUGGUUCUUUCUCAUUUUAGAAACUAUAUUUGUGUGGUCUGACCAUACUAUAGUGAUGCAUACAGACAGAUGUGGUGAGGAGGGGCACAGGAGAAAGAAAAGAUUUUCUUUUCCUGAAUUCUUUCGUUAAUGACAUUACAAUAUUGAACGCUGUAUGGUACAAGUCCUCCAGCUGCACUGAUUUGCAUCGGAAUGGUCUUAUGGGUUUUUCACUCAGAUAUUCUGGAACAUGCAUAUGAUAGAUUAGUGAUGGUCUGUAGGUAAACCACAUGUGAUUUAGGAUCCUGCCCAUCACUUGAAAUUACAUCACCAAAGAGAGCCCUUCAUUCUCUUGCUGUGCUCGGUAAGAUGUGUGGGGCUGGGGACACUCAGGGCUGUUAGCUGGGGGCCAUGAUAUUGAUCCUGGCUUAUUUCCUGAUAGCAGAUAAAAGGUCUCUCAACUGUGAGUGGUAUGAUUUGAAUUUGAAGUGUCCCUCAAAAGGCUUAUUGUUGAAAACUUGAUCCUCAUCUAGUGAUUUUCCUCUUGAGUGGAGAUUGGAUCACAGAGGCUGCUAUUACCUCAGUGGACUAAUUCACUGAUGAAUGAGCUGUUAGGAGGUGGGUCCUAGCUGGAGAGGUGUGUCACAUCCUUAAAGUAGUUUAUCUCAUCCCUGGUUCCUUCUGUCUGUUUCUGUUUCCCCAGCCACUGUGAGGUGAGCGGCCAUGUUCUACUACCCUCCCUUUGUCAUGAUGCUCUGCCUUACCGCUGGCCCACAGUGACCAUGGAUUAAAGUCUCAAAUUAUGCUUGGUUUUAAUGUCUAUUUGCCACAAUUUUGAAUCACGUGAAUAGCAGGCUCAAUGGAAGGACCGUCUUGAUUGCUUAGUUGACAUGGGAAGACCUAUCCUGAUUGGGGGAGGCACCUUCUGCUAGCAGCCCACAUAAAAAAGAGCCCAGUGGUAGGAAAGACACUUGCAUUUGCUUGGUUGACUUUCCCUCCCGUUCCUCUGGUGGAUUUACUCUGUUGGUCCUGCUGCUGAUUCCUUCACCGAUAUCAAGAACCAGGGUCUCCGGGCUUCCAUUGUUGACUAAGGAUCGGCAGCUCUCCAGGACAUUUCAGGGCUUUUCUGCUCCGGCUUGAGACUGCUGAGCACCCAGCCUUGUAAGACUAAGCAACCAAUAGGAAGUCAGUCUUUCCAGGGUGAGGCGGCCACUGUGGAGCUACUCUGAUCACUCAACUAGUAGGUUUUCAGCCUCAGCUGUGAGGCAGUUUUUGAGGUUUUAAUGCUUGUUGACUUACUGCACUCUUUCCUUCAUCCUGUUCGUUCUAGAAGACCCUGACUAACUUAACCCUGAAAAAGUGAGCUUAAACAUCCCUCCCUCUAAGUUGGGUUGGCCAGGUCUUAAUCACAGUGACAAGAGCUGACAGGCACACCGAGUGAGGGACACUGGUCAACAAGUCAUUUGCUGGCUCCAUGGUUCUGAGGAAAUACUGAUGGUAGAGACCCACAGUACCUUUUCCCCACUAGCAUUCCCUCAUCUGUGGAAUAAAAGAGACCAGUGGACCUCCACAUCUCAAAAGCAAAUUUAAAUGGGCUUCUGAUGUGGAAUUUGGGUAUCUGUAAGGAAGAAGUUUUUGGUCAAAUUGCUCCUACUCUCGUAUAAUCCCAUUCCCAAUAGUGCUUCCCAAGUGCUUUUUCCUUUCAGGGUAGACCACAACAGGUAAUUUCAGCCUGUGUUUUCUGGUAGCAAUAUAUGGAUCUCUGCCCUAUACUAACAUUCUACUGAUUGCUGUGUUCCCGGGAGCCCAUGAAAUGAGGGCAGGCUCAUUGGUAGGAUGACCAAGUACAGAAAAACAAAGCAGUGACUACGGAUGUCUAGGGAAAAGGAAACCAGACAGGUACAUUAGACAAGGAAUCAUUUCCUUAACAUAAGAGGCAACAGAGAAUCAAACGAUUUACCCCAAACUCUAAUUUUGAUAAUGAACAAAGAUUAUAAAAAAGAGAGAUGGCAUCUCUUUUCGAGCAGUAUUGCCAAUAUUAAAUUGAUCAACACUUGAAGUCAGUAAUAUGUGCAUCCAAGGGACAUGUAUGCUUUACUCAUCCAGCACCAGGGUUGAAUGUACUGUGCACAUGCCCACGAGGGCUAUGCAGAGACCAGAGAGUUAAAAGAGGACAGCAUCUGCUACAGCACUCUAGCAUUUACAAUCAGGUUUACAAAUUCAACCAACACUCAACAACCGAAUUUCUAGCGUUCUGUGAAGAAUUUAAUUAUCCUAUGGUAAGAGGAUAAACUGUCUGUAGGGAUAUGCUUCAGGUGUUGCCUAAAAUGCACCAACUAAUGCCUUUUAGCGAGAAUGGAUGACAGGAUUUGAAAUGGAGCAGACCCCCAAGUGCUGGGCUGUGGCUUUCCUUCAAAUGGCGUCUUGAAGAUUUCCUUUUUAAAGUCAGUGAGAAGUACCGACUUACCAUUUAUUACGGGGCAUAAUUUAUCUGCAUCGAUUAAAAUGAUCAAGUGUGCAAUGACAGCUCUUUCUCUUCCAGGUAAAUGCCUCCUUUGUGCUUUGCAGACAAGAGUUUCUGACAUGUCUCGGGAAACACUGGAGAAGUCACUCUUCAGGCUGUGCUUUCAUCCAGGAGGCGGUGUGGGAUGGAUUAAUGGCAACUCACGAUAAAUUAUUUAUCAGAUAAUAAGUGUGAUAAUUGUCCUUAUUUAUCAUUGCUAUAACUUUCCUUGUUCUCUUGUCUUGUGCUCCAUCAAGCCCUCCCCCCAGAUUCUCUGGCUAAAAUAGACAGCCAGAAGGUCAUUCCAGCAGCUUUUGCUCAUAAUGACACCCUGAUUAUCUCUUAAUUGAGAAAUGUAAACUAGAGGCUCUGGAAGUAAUUCGAGUGACCCUUGUAUUUCUAACACAGUGAAGAGAGUCCCUCUGAACCUUAUUCAUUCUGCCACCAAGCACAACGUGCAGUCUUUUUUGAUGUGCUUCUAAAUUAAUUGGAAAUAAUUCUUUUUCUUUUUCAUGGAGGAGAGGAAAUUCAAACCCCAAACCCAAACCAACCCGCAUGCUGAAAUUUGCUGCAAGAGAAGUAGAGCUGUAACGUACCUUUCACUCUCUACUGUCCUUCUGACAGCAAAUCCAUUGAAACUUAAUUGUAAUUAUCCACCAGGUCCGGGCCUUGAGAGGAAUACUGAUUACUGCUACGUGCUUUUCCAGGGGCAAGACUGGGCAUUGAGACUGUUGCAAAGUUUCAAGUAAAUUUAUUUCUAUUGGCAGCUGUAAUGGAUCGUUGGUCAUGGGCUAUUUCUGGGUUCGGUGCAAUGGAAGAAAAUAAUUCCAACUUCCUUGUACAGAGUUCUUGUCAGAGAUUGUCACCGUAAAUGAAAAUAUUACAAACAUAGGUUGGUACAUGUUUAUACCCCCCCCAUGCUUUUGGGUCUGAUGUAUGGUCCCAAAAGACUUAGCUUGUUUUUCUUAGGGCCUGCAUAUCCGUCCAGAAGUCUAUAUUCAGGUGUAUAGGCACAUGCUUUCCAAAGGUCCUUACUGGGGAUCAUUCUUUAGUUUGCAUAUUCUUCCCCCUUCAAGCCUAUGUAUUAAGGCUUGGUCCUUAGGGUGAUGCUAUGAGGGGAUGGUGGAACAUUUUUACUCAGUCACAUCCUACCACCAUGACCUAAUUUUUGCCUUGGUAUAGGCUUAAAUUAACAAGGCCAAUCAACCCUGGACUGGAGCCUCCAAAAUGGUGAGCCUUUUUUUUUCCACUAUAAGUUAAUCAUCUCAGGUAUUUUGUUAGAGUGAUGGGAUUGUUUUCUAGGAAAAAAGAACCCCAUGUAACACUGUCUUUUCUCUCCCUCCUUUUCUACCCAUGCCCCCAAAUUCGCAGCUCAGACAUAAUGCUCUCCUAACUGCUCAGUUUUGAACAUCAGUCUAUCCUCUCCUUACUUCAUAGUCUCUUUGGAUCAUGGUGCCCUCAUAAGACAAAUCCCUUUAACAUGGCUUGAAAUCGUUUUUUGUGAGUCAGAAAUUUUGGAGCGUUUGUGGUGGCCCUGGCACAGGGUCUGGGGCUGCAGAUGUUGGCGGAGCUGCGGUUAUCUGAAGACUUCACGUGAUGCUUCCAAGAAGACUCAUUGGAGUAUCUGUAGGUACUGCCUUCAUUACUGCACGCAUCCCUCCACAUGGCUUAGUGGUCUCACAACACGGCAGCUGGCUCUCCCCAGAGUGAGCCGUCCAACACAGCAAGGUAGAAGCUUCAAUGCUGCUCGUGACCUUGGUCGCCACACUCUGUCAGGCCCACAGGUUAGCGCUAUUUAUUGUGGGAAGAAAGAAACCCCAGGGCAGGAAAACAAGGUGACAGGAAUCAAGGGGGGCCAUCCAGGAAGCUGGCUACCACACGUGUAGCUUCAUUUAUGUUACAUUACUGCUCUUUCUGUGCUUAAGAGGUGAGGGUGUUAGAAGAGGAAAGUUGGGACUUGGUAGGGACAGCCAGGUCCAGUGUUGUGUUACAAGGCUUACACUGGGGAGACAGCUCUCCUGAACCACCAUGGUUGAGGCAGUUUGAAAGUUCAGUUCAUCCUUUUGGCAAAUUAAGUUUGUGAUGUCCACUGCGAGUAUCUUAGAAAAGUCCUGUGAGAGCUUUCUUGAACUGUUCUGUGGUUAAACUUAGAGGAUGACAACUUUUAUGGCCCACUUGAUGCCUCUCACAAUCCUUGCAUUAGAGAUCCUUCUGUUUGUUAUUAUUAUCCAUCGUUAGAUAAUUUACACAUUUACACAACACACUGGCUACUCUCACUCCCAGCCCCCAUGCUCUUCUAUCUCCCUACCAUUCCUUUAUCCCCUUCUCCCCACAAAUCUCCCUCAUGUUCUUGUCUAUUGAUUUUGUUUUGUCACUGUGGUGGUUUGAAUGAGAAUGGCCUCCAUAGGCUCAUAUGUUUGGAUGUUGGAACUCUUUUAGAAGGAUGAAGAGGUGUGGCCUUGUUGGAGGAGGUGUGCCAAUGGCUUUGAGGUUUCAAAAGUUGACUCCAGGCCCAACAUCUCACUCUUUGCUUCCAAUUUGUGUGAGCGCUCCGUUCCUGCUCCAGCACCAUACCUGCUCGCUGCCAUGCUCUCUACCACGAUGGUCAUGGACUCAUCCUCUGACACUGACUGUAUGACUGGGAACUAUUUGACGGAGCCUGGUGUGAUCAACAAUGAGUACACAACUAAAGACAGUGGUUCUUCCUCUCCUGGAAUCUUUCAGUAUCUGAUAGUUCAGUAAUAAAGCAAAGGACCUUGUGAGCUCUGACCAUGCCUGGUUGGUGAUGGGCCUGACCUUGUGUGGGCCCAGAGCAGACUUAUCAGGAUAUAAAUUACAUGCUAUACACUUCACCUAUUUAAAAAUAUUCAGAGG
rnacentral:sRNA from 1 species